rnacentral:pre_miRNA from 1 species
AAACAGCCCCCUAUGUUUUAAUUCUUUAGCAGUUUUGGUCCCCCCAAGACAAAUAAAAAAUUUGACACGUGGCACCUCACAUAGGGUGUCACGUCAGCGUUGACCGAGUCAACACUGGACUGAGGGUUCAAAACUGCCAAAGAAUCAAAACAUAGGGGGCUGUUU